CGCGGGUGGGGGGUCGGUAUCCCGUGAGGCUCAUAAUCUCACUUAAGCCGGUUCAAUUCCGGCACCCGCAA
rfam:Candidatus Woykebacteria bacterium RIFCSPHIGHO2_01_FTLL_39_12 rifcsphigho2_01_scaffold_35975, whole genome shotgun sequence.